rnacentral:rRNA from 1 species
UACGUAGGGGGCAAGCGUUGUUCGGAAUUACUGGGCGUAAAGGGCGCGUAGGCGGCUUUGCAAGUCGGGUGUGAAAUCCCCAGGCUUAACCUGGGAACUGCAUUCGAGACUGCAUUGCUAGAGUAUGGGAGAGGGAAGUGGAAUUUCCGGUGUAGCGGUGAAAUGCGUAGAUAUCGGAAGGAACAUCAGUGGCGAAAGCGACUUCCUGGACCAAUACUGACGCUCAUGUGCGAAAGCGUGGGGAGCAAACAGG